GAUGAACGCUGGCGGCGUGCCUAAUACAUGCAAGUCGAGCGAAUGGAUUAAGAGCUUGCUCUUAUGAAGUUAGCGGCGGACGGGUGAGUAACACGUGGGUAACCUGCCCAUAAGACUGGGAUAACUCCGGGAAACCGGGGCUAAUACCGGAUAAUAUUUUGAACUGCAUGGUUCAAAAUUGAAAGGCGGCUUCGGCUGUCACUUAUGGAUGGAGCCGCGUCGCAUUAGCUAGGUGGUGAGGUAACGGCUCACCAAGGCAACGAUGCGUAGCCGGCCUGAGAGGGUGAUCGGCCACACUGGGACUGAGACACGGGCCAGACUCCUACGGGAGGCAGCAGUAGGUAAUCUUCCGCAAUGGACGAAAGUCUGACGUAGCACCGCCGCGUGAGCGAUGAAGGCUUUCGGGUCGUAAAACGCAUUUGUGAGGGAAGAACAAGUGCUAGUUGAAUAAGCUGGCACCUUGACGGUACCUCACCAGAAAGCCACGGCUAACUACGUGCCAGCCGCCGCAGUAA
rnacentral:rRNA from 1 species